rnacentral:tRNA from 1 species
CAGAAAAUAGUUUAUUUACAAAAUACUAAAUUUGGAAUUUAGAGAAAAAAAUUUUCUGA